AAGGCGGCAUCCACAAAUAUUGGAGCUGCACUGUGUAACCUGUGUGAUUUGAACAAACUAAGCAAAGAAGCCAUUUUCUGCUUCGAGCCUUUGGGACGGAGACAGAGCA
rfam:Thermoactinomyces vulgaris strain NRRL F-5595 F5595contig9.1, whole genome shotgun sequence.